rnacentral:rRNA from 1 species
CCUACGGGGGGCAGCAGUGGGGAAUAUUGGGCAAUGGGCGCAAGCCUGACCCAGCAAAGCCGCGUGAAGGAAGAAGGCUUUCGGGUUGUAAACUUCUUUUAAGGGGGAAGAGCAGAAGACGGUACCCCUUGAAUAAGCCACGGCUAACUACGUGCCAGCAGCCGCGGUAAUACGUAGGUGGCAAGCGUUGUCCGGAUUUACUGGGUGUAAAGGGCGUGCAGCCGGGGAGACAAGUCAGAUGUGAAAUCCACGGGCUCAACCCGUGAACUGCAUUUGAAACUGUUUCCCUUGAGUGUCGGAGAGGUAAUCGGAAUUCCUUGUGUAGCGGUGAAAUGCGUAGAUAUAAGGAAGAACACCAGUGGCGAAGGCGGAUUACUGGACGAUAACUGACGGUGAGGCGCGAAAGCGUGGGGAGCAAACAGGAUUAGAUACCCCAGUAGUC